rnacentral:rRNA from 1 species
AGAUUGAACGCUGGCGGCAUGCCUUACACAUGCAAGUCGAACGGCAGCACGGGAGCAAUCCUGGUGGCGAGUGGCGAACGGGUGAGUAAUACAUCGGAACGUGCCCAAUCGUGGGGGAUAACGCAGCGAAAGCUGUGCUAAUACCGCAUAAGAUCUACGGAUGAAAGCAGGGGAUCGCAAGACCUUGCGCGAAUGGAGCGGCCGAUGGCAGAUUAGGUAGUUGGUGAGGUAAAGGCUCACCAAGCCUUCGAUCUGUAGCUGGUCUGAGAGGACGACCAGCCACACUGGGACUGAGACACGGCCCAGACUCCUACGGGAGGCAGCAGUGGGGAAUUUUGGACAAUGGGCGAAAGCCUGAUCCAGCCAUGCCGCGUGCAGGAUGAAGGCCGUUCGGUUGGUAACGUGUCGUUUUGUUACGGUAACGAAAAGUACUUACUUCUUAAUAAAGAAGGAGUACAUGACGGUAACGUAAACGAAGUAAGACAACCGACUAACUUAACCG